GAUGAACGCUAGCGGCAGGCUUAACACAUGCAAGUCGAGGGGUAUAGUUCUUCGGAGCUAGAGACCGGCGCACGGGUGCGUAACGCGUAUGCAAUCUACCUUUUGCAGAGGGAUAGCCCAGAGAAAUUUGGAUUAAUACCUCAUAGUAUGUGAGAAUGGCAUCAUUUUCACAUUAAAGUCACAACGGCAAAAGAUGAGCAUGCGUCCCGUUAGCUUGUUGGUAAGGUAACGGCUUACCAAGGCAACGAUGGGUAGGGGUCCUGAGAGGGAGAUCCCCCACACUGGUACUGAGACACGGACCAGACUCCUACGGGAGGCAGCAGUGAGGAAUAUUGGACAAUGGGCGCAAGCCUGAUCCAGCCAUGCCGCGUGCAGGAUGACGGUCCUAUGGAUUGUAAACUGCUUUUGUACAGGAAGAAACACUGGUUCGUGAACCAGCUUGACGGUACUGUAAGAAUAAGGAUCGGCUAACUCCGUGCCAGCAGCCGCAGUAAUAC
rnacentral:rRNA from 1 species